AUCACUAAAAGGAUGCCAACGGUAUUGAUAGAGAGAACAGGACCUUUUAUAGGAUUUGACUGCAUUCUUAUGAAGUUGUAGCUUUGGUUUAAGUGCGUCUUUAGGCCUGUGACCUUCAGAACUUUAUUUUUUACAUUUUAAGUAUUUUAUUUAUUUUAUUUUAAGACAGGGUUUCUCUCCGUAGCCCUGGCUGUCUUGGAAUGCUCUCUAUAGACCAGGCUGGCCUCAAACUCAGAGAUCAGCCUGCCUCUGCCUCCCUAGCACGGAAACAGCUGAGCAGGAAGUGACUGAAUAGCCACUACCGUGGCCAGAGUUGGGGCAGAGACAGGGAGGUCUGCUUGCUCAUAGCAACAGGACAGCAGGCUGUCCACUGAUCAAGAACACGUGCCCUGCACAGCCCUGAAGGGGUGCCAUCCCUCCUUUGCGUGUCAUCUGGACAAGUGAGUUUUGUUCCAGUUCUCAUAGAAGCCACCGCACUGCGGAGCCUGAAGUUACACAAGAAGCAAGACAAGGUCUCCCAUGGUUGGAAGAGCCCCACAUGAUGUCUCUAUACCCAAUUCUUGUGGGAAGAUCGGUUUCCCAGCCAGAGUCCAUCCCUCUCCUUCUGUGCAGGUGGUCUCAGGUUGGUGACACUAAGAUCAGCCUCCUAUGGGGCUUCAAGCCCCCUUCCUCUACCCCUGUGCUGCUGAGAACCAGGUGGGCAGACAGGAAUGC
rnacentral:lncRNA from 1 species